ensembl:lncRNA
CAUUAAAUAGUGGCAUAAAGUAAAAGGUGGAUGUAUGUUAUUACCUACAUAUUACACAAUAAGAUGAACGUAGAAAUUCUGGUGUCCAUAACUAUUUGCACCAGACUUUGGCUGCACUGAUGCCUGAUCGCUGAUAGAAAGUCAUUACACCACAGUUCCAGCUGCAGUCUGACAGUUUUCCCUGUUUACAUGUCAGAUUAUUGCUUUUGCCUAGAUAUUAUUAUUAUUGUUGUUGUUGUUGUUAUUGUUAUUGUUGUUGUUAUUAUUAUUAUUAUUAGCAUCAGAACACUAUGAAGCAGUUUUGCUGAUUCCUACAUGAAGUCCAGUAAGCACUCCUCAGGGCGCUAAAAACCAGACCAGCGGAAGAUAUUUAAAAUAGCUUGAUUAAUUGUGAUGAUCUCAUCUAUGACUCUCGAGUAAGUGGAAAUGUUUAAUGAUUCAAGUUUUCUUGUUUUUUUUUUUUUUUUUAAUUCUCAUUCCAGCACAUGUAUUUACAUGAAGUGGAAUUACAGUUUUUAUUUUUGGUCCCUGUUCAGGCCAAUGAGGAUAAAACACAUCAAGAGCGACAGAAACAAGAGCAAGAAGUAUAUUUACAGUGUUUGUGAAGACCAGGAGAAAAACAGCCAUGUGAGACCUGAUAACGUGGGGUUCAGAUCGCUACGCUGGUGACUUCUCCCCGACCUUUGACCCCUAACCUUUGCACGGACCCCUCAGAACCUUGUUGCCAUGCAGAUAGCUCAAAAGACUUCCCUGUCACGCCCCCUCCCAGAACUUAAAGAUCUCCAAGGUAACCAGAGAUCAGCCAACAGUCUGCUCUUCUAUUGGACCAAACUGUCCCUCCAACCAAGACCACCCCCAACACUUCUCUCGUCCACACACCUGCCAACCCAGAUUACCACAUUUUAGAUUUCCCAGUCGACCCUCCAGCUACUUAAACAGACAUACUAAAUACAGAUUUUUGGAGCAAGCUCCACAGACCUUUAGAUUGAGCUAAACUAACUGCCCCCUGGCUCCAGUUUGAUACUUAGUGCACUGAUUUUCUCAGAAAAAAAAAUUUCUCGUCUUGUGGAAAUAUUCCUUCGACCACAUGCUAAUUUAAGUCCCUUCCCUUCCACAGGUCUUCUGCUUCUCUUGCUCUAAUUAUCUGCUAACUCCAUGCUUGCAUUUGCAAACACACCACUAACAGUAUCCUGUGUAGCUGUGCAGUUUGCACUUCUUGUGUGCCACCUCCACUCCCUUUCUUCACCUGAUAUCACUGUUUGUAUUCUUCUUAAAAUAUCCAGACCAUCAUUGCAACUGAAUAAUUAUGCAUAGGAUGUGAUGUCAUGGGUUUGAUGUCACAGGAGGAAAAAAAGAUGAGGUUGUGGUGGAUGAAUGGCUCAAAUCUGAGUGUUGAAGUGGAUGGGAUGAGAAUUGGCACCCUCAGAUCAGACCCCAGGCUGUAAAAGGGUGAAUUACCCGCUCUCAGCUGAGACUGAAGCAGAUUAAUCUACCUGUCCUCACCUGUGGCCACAAGCUGCGGGUGUUGAACUAAAGAAUUAGUGGACGAACAAUCCCCAGCUGUAGUGUAUGGGGUCUGUUAGAGAUAGAGUAAGGAUCUCAGUCAGUAGAAACACUGCUCCUCCAUGUUGAGGUGUUUGAUGCAUGUCCUAUGGGCUGUUGUCAGACAAGCUGUUGAGAUUGCAUCUCUCAGCUGGACCAUUAAAAACUGUGGAUGCUGGGAACAGGGAGGUCUAGGCAUCUCUGCUUACACUGCUGCUCUCAUGGCCUUCAGCAGGAAAUGAGUGGAUGAGAAACACUUAAUUUGUUUCUUUCAAGCAAAAGCAAACAUGGAAAUAUUUGUACUUCCAUGACCUGUUACAUUUUCAUUGUAAAAAUGUGUUUUGAGAAAGGGGAAAAAUACCGUAUUUUAUUAAAAUUAGCAGAAACAUGGAUCUUUUCCUAAAACAGAGUCUUUAACGAUGUUAUUUCUCUAUUAAAAAGCAUGACUAAUCAGUAACAGUGAUGGUCCCAGGGCAACACCUUAAUAUUGAUAUGAUAUUGCAGGAAAUACACACACACUUUUACAUCCCCCUUUUUCUCUCCUCCUCUCCCCUAAAGCAUCCCUGUACCUGUACAGUGUUUCUGUAAAUAGUUUGACGCAUGUUUUCUCAAACAAAAUAUCAGAGUAUUUCAUUAUGAAGAGAUAUUACGUGUAUAUUAUAAUAGAUAUCAUAUUCAGCAUCUGCUUCGUGCUCCACUGCAUCAUUAUCAUUUGAAGCAACUAUACACUGGCAACUUGUAGCAGGAUACUAGUGAUGGGCAGUACUCAGUAUUUUUAUUUUUUUUGUUAAACAGGACAAGCUGAUUCAGAUUUUAUUAUGAAUUAUGAGGGGAAAGAUUCUGAAACAAAUUUUUAUUUGUUGUUUUUGGGGUUUUUUUGACAAGCUCACAGAUAAUAAACAGAGGUAGCCUGACAUGUUCUGUGUAGACACUGGGCUUUCAUUUGUGUUAAAUGAAGGUACAUCUUUGAAUUCACAAGUCAGCAACCGCAACUGACUAAAAUGUUGGUGUAAAACUUUCUUUAUCCAAAGUUUUCCACUCAAGUCUAAUGACUGACCUGUCGUACAUAAAUGUUGCCUGUUUACAUGAGUGCUGACUGCUGCCAGAUGUGGGGUCAUACUAACUUGUUGGUUUUUAAGUUUUAACGAUGGUUUGAGGCUUAUCCAGUGUGUGCUUUACUCCUUGUUAUCUCCUGUUGUUAACUUUGACCGUGUUAAGUCGGAGGAAACUAUUAUGAGGCGUGUUUUGCAUCAGAGCAUUCACGCGUCGCAUCAGCUCAGAUAUACUUUAGAUCAGGGGUAUCAAACCCAUUUUACAUUUUGGGCCACAUAUAGCUCAAUUUGAUAUCAAUUAGGUCAGACCAGUAAAACUAUCGACUAAUAACAUAUAGGCUUACAGUUGAAAAAAUAAAGGUGUAAAUUACAGGAAAACCACUGGCAGUUCAUUACCUCCCAGUUAUCUACUUAUCAUUUAAUUAAAAAAAACAGACAUUUUCUGUUAACUUACGAUAUGUUUUAAUUUCUAUAAGGAAGCAUGGAAAAAAGGUUUUCUGUUAUGUGAUGGAAUCUAACAAUAAUAAGAGAGUCCAAAGUUUAUGCCCUUGUGAAGAUUUCACAUUUUCCAAAGCCAUACGAGGGGCCUUCUCUGGCCCCCGGGCCAUACGUUCACCUUCCCCGCUUUAGAUGAUAUUAGCCAUUUUAAAACGCAGAUUUUGAAUCAGACACUUCAAAUGUUUCCCAUCCUUCGGUGUUUGAUAUCUGAUGGUGGCUUUGGUUGUUCUCUAUCAUGUGUUUUUCUCAUCAGGUCAUUUGUUUGUAUUUAUGUGUGUCCUUUUUUCCUGUCAUUAUGAAUAUCAUAGAUUUAUAAUUUAUUAUGUAUGAUAAAGGCAUAUGUUUUUAAAAUAAAUACUACUACAAA